GAGAAGGAAGACCACGAUGUGCAUGACAGUACAGUCGUUUCCAACGUUUACUGCUGGCUGAUGAGUGUGAACUGUUAGGUCUCUGUUGGGCUUGCUGUGGAUCAAGGAGCUCCCCAAAUCUAUGCAUUAAUCAAGAUCAGAUAAUACCAAUCUACCUUUCUGUUUUGUUCAUCAUGGACAAGCCUAUAUAAUCCAAAGCCAAGGCGAACAGC